rnacentral:rRNA from 1 species
CCUACGGGGGGCAGCAGUAAGGAAUAUUGGUCAAUGGGCGGAAGCCUGAACCAGCCAUGCCGCGUGCAGGAAGACGGCCUAUGGGUUGUAAACUGCUUUUGCAGGGGAAUAUGUACUCUGAGAAUAAGGAUCGGCUAACUCCGUGCCAGCAGCCGCGGUAAUACGGAGGAUCCAAGCGUUAUCCGGAUUUAUUGGGUUUAAAGGGUGCGUAGGCGGCCUAUUAAGUCAGGGGUGAAAGACGGUAGCUUAACUAUCGCAGUGCCUUUGAUACUGAUGGGCUUGAAUGUACUUGAGGUAGGCGGAAUGUGACAAGUAGCGGUGAAAUGCAUAGAUAUGUCACAGAACACCAAUUGCGAAGGCAGCUUACUAAGUUGAUUGACGCUGAGGCACGAAAGCGUGGGGAUCAAACAGGAUUAGAUACCCGGGUAGUC